rnacentral:rRNA from 1 species
UACGUAGGGUGCAAGCGUUGUCCGGAAUUAUUGGGCGUAAAGAGCUCGUAGGCGGUCCGUCACGUCGGGAGUGAAAACUUGGGGCUUAACCCCAAGCCUGCUUCCGAUACGGGCGGACUAGAGGUAGGCAGGGGAGAACGGAAUUCCUGGUGUAGCGGUGAAAUGCGCAGAUAUCAGGAGGAACACCCGUGGCGAAGGCGGCUCUCUGGGACGGUACUGACGCUGAGACGCGAAAGCGUGGGGAGCGAACAGG